CAAGACGAGUUUGAUCCUGGCUCAGGAUGAACGCUGGCGGCGUGCCUAAUACAUGCAAGUCGAACGAGGUGCUUUUGUAGCAAUACGAGAGUAUCCUAGUGGCGAACGGGUGAGUAACGCGUGGAUGACCUGCCCCAAAGUGUGGGAUAACAGUCCGAAAGGAUUGCUAAUACCUCAUGUGGUUAUCGGUUUUUAGAAAGCGAUAACUAAAGCAGCAAUGCGCUUUGGGAGGGAUCUGCGUCCCAUCAGCUAGUUGGUGAGGUAACGGCUCACCAAGGCGACGACGGGUAGGGGACCUGAGAGGGUGGCCCCCCCACAAUGGAACUGAAACACGGUCCAUACACCUACGGGUGGCAGCAGUAGGGAAUAUUGCUCAAUGGGCGAAAGCCUGAAGCAGCAACGCCGCGUGUGCGAUGAAGGCCUUCGGGUCGUAAGCACUUUCUAAGAGAUGAGAAGGACAGUAUCUUAGGAAUAAGUCUCGGCUAACUACGUG
rnacentral:rRNA from 1 species